GAAAUUUUCAUUGAAGAGAAAAUGCAUAUAUAAUUAAAUUCCAAAGCCCAACGAAGUACAAUCUAAAAAAAAAAAAAAACCUAAGAACUAAUGAUGGAAGCUUGAAAUUCUCAUCCAUGUUCCAUCUGUCUAGGCCUAGUUUGCUCGCUUUCUGCCUGAGACAUGUAAAAACAAGCCAUGGGGGGUUAAAUCUAACAAUCCAUGCAGAAUGUGCAAUCCAAUUUAUGGAGUCCUUCAAGUCCAAGUAGUCUCUACUGCCAGGUUUUGGAGGAUUAAUUAGGCAUUGUCACCUUCAGCAUGCAACUGUGUAGUGUCGAUGGUAUUCCUGAAAGAUUCUAGAAUGAUGAGAGCUUAUGAAUCACGAGUACAGAGCCACACCACCUUGCAGCGGCCGAAUCUUGUAAGGAAAUCCAUCAGUGCAUAAAAAUUUGUCGAGUUUGACAAGAACCAUUCUUCAUCCCAAAGUUCUGAUACCGAAAUAAUGGAUUCCUAAUGUAUGGAAUUGUGUUAUAAUAGAAACUUUGGCUUCCAAUAAACCGUUAGAAUACAAAAGGAUCGAGAUUUUGGGUAUUGAUGGUGGCCUUGAGUUCACGAUGGCAUUGCAAGUGUAGUUGCCCGAGAUGGUCAACACAGAUGUCGAUCGUUUUCAACUUAGUGGCAUCGAACACCGCUACACGCCUACACCUUCACAUUCUGGUAAAACACAUGUAAGAGAUUUGAGAUGUUAGAAAAUUUGGGUCACCCUCUGAAUUCCCUAGCCCAAGACCGAAACUGAAUGAAAACAAUAACCAGAAACAAUGUAACACGAACACAAGAUAUUUAACGAGGUUCAAUCAAAUCCACAUGACAUACGUCCUCGGGUGAUGAUGAUGGAUCCACUAAACGAGAAGAAGAUUAUAACUGAAGAACAAUUUGGUUCUUCCACCCUCAAAUAAUAUUUCUCCUCACACUCUAGACUCUCAAAUACAUCUGAUCUCACAUGGCUUGCAACUCUCAAGAUCAGAACUCUCAAAUGAUCUACAUCACACCACACCUAAAACUAUGUCUCUAAGGUCCUAUUUAUAGAUUCACAAUUAGUCCAACUUACAAUAGGAUUGAGAACCAUAGCAGGAUUCCUAAAU
rnacentral:lncRNA from 1 species